rnacentral:rRNA from 1 species
GACGAACGCUGGCGGCGUGCUUAACACAUGCAAGUCGAACGGGCCCGCUCUCUUUUUUGGGGGUGGGUUGAGUGGCGAACGGGUGAGUAUCACGUGAGUAACCUGCCCCCUGCUCCUGGAUAACUGCUUGAAAGGGCGGCUAAUACGGGGUGUGCCGGCUGGUCCGCAUGGGCCUGGUCGGGGUUGUUUCAUCUUCGGGUGGUUCGGUGGGGGAUGGGCUCGCGGCCUAUGAGUUUGUUGGGGGGGGGGUGGCCCGCUAAGGCGGUGACGGGUGGCCGGCCUGAGGGGGUGGGCGCCCACACUGGGACUGAGACACGGCGCAGACUCCUGCGGGAGGCAGCAGUGGGGGGUAUUGCACAAUGGGCGGAAGCCUGAUGCAGCGACGUCGCGUGAGGGAUGGAGGCCUUCGGGUUGUGAGCCUCUUUCUCCGGUGGUGAAGGCCCUGUCCGUUGCGGCGGGGUUGACGGUAGCCGGGUAUGAAGCGCCGGCUAACUACGUG